rnacentral:rRNA from 1 species
AUGUUGGGUUAAGUCCCGCAACGAGCGCAACCCUUGCCAUUAGUUGCUACAUUCAGUUGGGCACUCUAAUGGGACUGCCGGUGACAAACCGGAGGAAGGUGGGGAUGACGUCAAGUCCUCAUGGCCCUUAUGGGUAGGGCCUCACACGUAAUACAAUGGCCGGUACAGAGGGCUGCCAACCCGCGAGGGGGAGCAAAUCCCAGAAAGCCGGUCGUAGUCCGGAUUGUUCUCUGCAACUCGAGAGCAUGAAGUCGGAAUCGCUAGUAAUCGCGGAUCAGCAUGUCGCGGUGAAUACGUUCCCGGGUCUUGUACACACCGCCCGUCACACCAUGGGAGUGGGUUUCACCAGAAGUAGUUAGCCUAACCGCAAGGAGGGCGACUACCACGGUGAGAUUCAUGACUGGGGUGAAGUCGUAACAAGGUAAAUGCA